GGUUGUGGCUCAGCGGUAGAGCACUCGCCUAGCACAUGUGAGGCCCUGGGUUCGAUUCUCAGCACCA
rnacentral:tRNA from 1 species